CGACUAACAGCAAUAACAAAAGCUGUCCUGGGUGCCAUCUGGGUGAUUGCUGUGCACAGGACUCUCAGUUUGAGGCAGGGUGAGCUGUGACACAGUAGGUUCAUCACAGCUAGAGAAAUCCUCCCCAAAACAAACACCUGACAAGAGCUUCCCCAGUGGCUGCCUGCCCUGAAGAGAGAGGAGACAUCAGCAAGGACAUACCAAGAGAUCCACAGAUGGGUACUUGGAUGCAGCCCUGAAGAUUAGAGCAAUAGCAUCAUCCAUAGUCAACUAGAAUUUCUCUUCUACAGGCAAUAAAUAUUGGAUUAUUUAUUUUGCAUCACGACUGCCUACUCCUCUCCUUUCUAUUUUUCCCUCUGUAUGAUCAAGCUUGCAUUUUGCUAAAGGCUCUCUUGCUGACUUUCCAUUGGUGCUGGGAUUCACACUUCCUGGAAAUGGGGCCCAAGGGAAUGGUGAGGUUUAUUCCAUCAUGCCACAGCUGCAUCCCCAAGCCCACCAUGCCCUGCCUUACCACACUGCCAGCCAAAACCUUUCCUGUGCCACUCACACCUUGUGGGCCAAGCUCUGGUAGCCCUCCUCUGCUGUGCUACAUCCCUUCCCAACCCAGCCAUCUCCCCCAGGCCACCAUCUAAAACCUGAGCGUUGUCCUCUGUUCCAAUCCACGCUUCCAUUCCAUCCCAUUCAUCACCUAAGCAAAGUUCUCUCAAUAACCACAAAUCCUCAGCUGCCCAGUCCCAUCCCUGUCCACUGCUCUUCCACCCUCACUGCUUCACACCCUGCACUGCAGCUGACCCACAGCCUUAGCACUGCCAGGUUUUUCACAGCAACCUGUCCUCUUUAUUUCUCAGAGCAUUAAAUCUCUUUUCUUAC